AUGAAAACAAAGCCCGCCUGUGAGGGGCGCUACAGGAGCAGAACCUUGGGACGCCCACCCACACUCGCAGCACCCGGAUCGCGCUGGGCCUGGCUUUGGGGGUGGAGCUUCCCCGCCAUCCUGUGACGCCAGCCCUGCCCCCGGCCGCACCCUAGGAACAGAGGGAGGCGGGGUCCUCGCCAGCUCCUGCUCUGGACGAUGGAAGGGGACGGAGUGACCCACUGGGACGAGCCUGGGUCCCGGAAUCACCACCUGGAGGCCCUGCUGAACACCCACCUGAGCUGUUACAUUAUGAAAAUAAUGCACCUUUGCAGAAUGAAACCUGCGCAGUGGAGAAGGGAAUUAGAGAAAAAGAAAUAUCGCUCAGAGCACAGAACUGGGAGAGGCCCUGGGACCAGUGCUGCCUCUUUCUCAUCUUUUCUCCGUCGCCUGAGUGGUGAUUUCAACAUCUGAAUGCCAGGGUGAGGAAGUGGGGGUGAUGACAUAAGGAUAACGGAAUAUGUGGUUGUGACUAAGUUACUCGACGGAAGGACCGUGAAAACGUGAGGGCAGCUCACACACGACUGAGAACCGAGCGUGAAAGCGGGUCCCUUGCAGCUCACAGACAAGCCUCUACAGCGGGAGAUAAGCCCCAAUGUGACAAUCAGGUGUCUGAACCUUCAGCUGUUAGGCCAAAGUCACGGUCCUGCUUGGGAAAACCUGGGAGCCUGAUGGGUGGAGUCAGGGCAGCUGGAUGGACACCCCCAGGACGCUGAAUUCCAGGCUGCCCUGAACUUUGUGAGCUUGCAGGAGCAGCCAUUCUCUCUGUUAGGAGCUGUGUCCUUUCCUGGCUUCCGAGCCUAUAACAAGCAUUAAAUCACAGCAACACCCAGCCUGGAACAUGCAGGACCUUAUAAAGGAAGAGGGAGAGACAGAGACAGAGACAGACAGAUGGAGAGAACAUGAGUUCCAAAUAUCAGAAAUGAGAGAGGCGACAACCACAGAUUCUACAGAUAUUAAAAGAAUAAGGAGCGGGCUUCCCUGGUGGCGCAGUGGUUGAGAAUCUGCCUGCUAAUGCAGGGGACACGGGUUCGAGCCCUGGUCUGGGAGGAUCCCACGUGCCGCGGAGCAACUGGGCCCGUGAGCUGCAGCUACUGAGCUUGCGCGUCUGGAGCCUGUGCUCUGUAACAAGAGAGGCCGCGAUAGUGAGAGACCCGCGCACCGCUAUGAAGAGUGGCCCCCGCUUGCCACAACUGGAGAAAGCCCUCUCACAGAAACGAAGACCCAACACAGCAAAAAUAAAUAAAUUAAUUAAUAAAACUCCUACCCCCAACAUCUUCUUUAAAAAAAAAAAAGAAUAAGGAGGGCAUAUUAGAAACAACUUUAUGCCAAUAGAUUUAAUGACCUAGAUGAAAUGGGUAAAUACUGGAGACAAGCGGAAGCUGAACCGGAAAAUGUUUACAAUGGCAUCAAAAAGUAUGAAAGCCUUUGGGGUAAAUCUGAUGAAAGAUGGAAAAGCCCUAUUCAUGGAAAAUGGCAAAAUAUUGCUGGGAGGAAUGAAAGAAGAGUUAAAUAAAUGGAGAGAUCUCACGUUUUCACAGGUCCCAAGAUUCAGUGAUGUUACGAUGUCAUUUCUCCUCAAACUGAUCUCUAGCUUCAGUGCAACCCCAAUCCCAAAUGCAGCCGUCCUCACAGCAGAAAUGGACAAGGGGACUCUAAGGUUCAUACGAAAAUACAAAGGUUCUAGAAAAGUCAGACGUCUCUGAAAAAAGAGACAGCAGCUGGAGAACUAACAGUCCUCAAGAGCAGAGUUCUUAGUGUGGUGCUGGCAGAAAGACAGACAAAGAGACCAGUGGAACAGUGAGCCCGGGAGUGAGUCCACACAGGUAUGUACCAUUUGUUUAUUUUUUAAUUUUUUGAAGGUGCAGAACUCUUGAUUUUUUUUAAUUGAGGUAUAGAUUAGAUUAUGUACCAUUUAUUUCUGACCUUGGUGCACAGUGAAAAGAGGAUAGACUUUUCAACAAACAGAUGCUGGAAUAAUUGUGUACCUUCUAGAAACGAACCCACUGCAAGCCCUACCUCACACCAUACACAAAAUUUAACUCAAAAUGGAUCAUAGACAUGAAUGUAAAACCUAAAACGAUAAGAUUUCCAGAAGGAAACAUGAGAGAAAAUCUUUGUGAUGUUAGGCAAAGAUUUCUUAGAUAUGAGAGCAGAAUUACAAUCCACAAGAGAACUAACGGAUAAACUGGCCUUUAUCAAAAUGAAAAACUUCUGUCCCGUGAAAGAUACUGUUGGGACUUCCCUGGCAGUCCUGUGGUUAAGACUUCGCCUUCCAAUGCAGGGGCUGCAGGUUCGACCCCUGGUCGGGGAACUAAGAUCCCACUUGUCUCGGGGCCAAAAAACCAAAACACAAAAUAAAAGCAGUACUGUAACAAAUUCAAUAAAGACUCCAAAAAUGGUCCACAUCAAACAAAAAAGUCUAUGAAAAAAAAAAGAAAGAUACUGUUGAGAGACUGAACAGACAGCCUCAUGCAAAAAAAAUGAAUCAGACCACUGUCUUACAGCCUUCACAAAAGUGCACUCAAAGUGGACUAAAGACUUGAAUGUACAACCCGAAACCAUAAUGUCUAGAAGAAAACAUAGGCUCCUUGACGUUGUUCUUGGCAAUGAUUUUUUGGAUCUGAUACCAAAAGCAAAGACAACAGAGGCAAAAAUAAACAAGUGGGACCACAUCAAACUGAAACCUUCUUCACAGCCAAGGAAAUGAGCAGUGAAUGAAAAGACAACCUAGGGAAUGGGGGAAAAUAUUUGCAAAUCAUAUAUCUGAUGAGGGGUUCAUAGCCAAAAUACAUAAAGAACUCAUACGACUCAAUAGAAAAACAGAAAACAAACAAACAAAAAAACCCCAAACAAUCUGAUUAAAAAAUGGGCAGAGGACCUCAAUAGACAUUUUUCCAAAGAAGAUACACAGAUGGCCAAAAGGUACAUGAAAAGAUGCUCAACAUCACUAAUCAUCAGGGAAAUGCAAAUCAAAACCACAAUGAGAUACCACCUCACAGCUGUCAGAAUGGCUUUCGUCCAAAAGACAACAAAUAACAAGUGUUGGUGAGGACGUGGAGAAAAGGACACAAGAAGAGAAGAGACUGGUAAUUGCCCCAGGAUGGGGAUGAGGGGUGGGAGAAAUGGGUGAAGGGGGUCAAAAAGUACAGACUUCCAGUCAUAAAAUAAUUAAGUCCUGGGGAUGUAAUAUACAGCAUGGGGACUAUAGUUAAUAACACUGUAGUGCAUAUUUGCAAGUUGCUAAGAGAGUGGAUCUUAAGAGAUCCCAUCAUAAGAAAAACAAUGGUAACUGUGUGUGGUGAUCAAUGUUCACUAGACUC